rnacentral:rRNA from 1 species
AUUGAACGCUGGCGGCAUGCCUUACACAUGCAAGUCGAACGGCAGCACGGGUGCUUGCACCUGGUGGCGAGUGGCGAACGGGUGAGUAAUACAUCGGAACAUGUCCUGUAGUGGGGGAUAGCCCGGCGAAAGCCGGAUUAAUACCGCAUACGAUCUACGGAGGAAAGCGGGGGACCUUCGGGCCUCGCGCUAUAGGGUUGGCCGAUGGCUGAUUAGCUAGUUGGUGGGGUAAAGGCCUACCAAGGCGACGAUCAGUAGCUGGUCUGAGAGGACGACCAGCCACACUGGGAUUGAGACACGGCCCAGACUCCUACGGGAGGCAGCAGUGGGGAAUUUUGGACAAUGGGCGAAAGCCUGAUCCAGCAAUGCCGCGUGUGUGAAGAAGGCCUUCGGGUUGUAAAGCACUUUUGUCCGGAAAGAAAUCCUUGGCCCUAAUACGGUCGGGGGAUGACGGUACCGGAAGAAUAAGCACCGGCUAACUACGUG